rnacentral:rRNA from 1 species
AUUGAACGCUGGCGGCAGGCCUAACACAUGCAAGUCGAGCGAGCGGCGCACGGGUGAGUAAUGUCUGGGAAACUGCCUGAUGGAGGGGGAUAACUACUGGAAACGGUAGCUAAUACCGAAUACCCUCGGAUGUGCCCAGAUGGGAUUAUCUUGUAGGUGAGGUAACGGCUCACCGAGGCGACGAUCCCUAGCUGGUCUGAGAGGAUGACCAUCCACAGUGGAACUGAGACACGGUCCAGACUCCUACGGGAGGCAGCAGUGGGGAAUAUUGCACAAUGGGCGCAAGCCUGAUGCAGCCAUGCCGCGUGUAUGAAGAAGGCCUUCGGGUUGUAAAGUACUUUCAGCGGGGAGGCGUUACCCGCAGAAGAAGCACCGGCUAACUCCGUGCCAGCAGCCGCGGUAAUUC